UACGUAGGGUGCUAGCGUUGUUCGGAAUCAUUGGGCGUAAAGCGCGUGUAGGUGGUUUGUUAAGUCGGGUGUGAAAUCCCUGGGCUCAACCGAGGAAGUGCAUCCGAAACUAACAAGCUAGAAGAUGGCAGAGGAAGGUGGAAUUCCAAGUGUAGAGGUGAAAUUCGUAGAUAUUUGGAGGAAUACCGGUGGCGAAGGCGGCCUUCUGGACCAUUCUUGACACUGAGACGCGAAAGCGUGGGGAGCAAACAGG
rnacentral:rRNA from 1 species